rfam:Bacillus sp. MTM 116 100, whole genome shotgun sequence.
UAGGAAAAGAAGAAGCACCCGCUUCUCACCUGAUUGACGCUGGUUAAAGCAGUUGGCAGGUUUUACGUGAACUUUUUUGUUUCAUUACUUUUGUUUCGUAAAGUGUGGGUGAUUUCAUCCGCACUUUUUUGUUUGA